rnacentral:rRNA from 1 species
CCUACGGGAGGCAGCAGUAAGGAAUAUUGGACAAUGCUCGCAAGAGCGAUCCAGCCAUGCCGCGUGCAGGAAGACGGCCCUAUGGGUUGUAAACUGCUUUUGAACUAGAGAAAACCCUCCUACGUGUAGGAGGCUGAUAGUAUAGUUAGAAUAAGCAUCGGCUAACUUCGUGCCAGCAGCCGCGGUAAGACGAAGGAUGCAAGCGUUAUCCGGAUUCAUUGGGUUUAAAGGGAGCGUAGGUGGACUGAUAAGUCAGUGGUGAAAUCUCUCGGCUUAACCGAGAAAUUGCCAUUGAUACUGUUGGUCUUGAGUACAGUUGCUGUGGGCGGAAUAUGACAUGUAGUGGUGAAAUACAUAGAGAUGUCAUAGAACACCGAUUGCGAAGGCAGCUCACAAAGCUGUAACUGACACUGAGGCUCGAAAGUGCGGGGAUCAAACAGGAUUAGAUACCCUGGUAGUCCGCACCGUAAACGANNAUACUCNCUGNUGGAGGUAACGUUACUAGUGUGUAGCGAAGACGAGUAAGUAAGUACCACCGUCGGGAGGUACGCCGGCCGACGGUAGGAACGUACGAAGUAGUAAGUUAGUUACGGCGUUGGAGGACGUUGGCCGACGGGACGACGACGAGGGGAGGAGGG